rnacentral:rRNA from 1 species
CUGUGCCCGUCUUGACGGUACCUAAUCAAAAAGCCCCGGCUAACUACGUGCCAGCAGCCGCGGUAAUACGUAGGUGGCAAGCGUUAUCCGGAAUUAUUGGGCGUAAAGCGCGCGUAGGCGGUUUUUUAAGUCUGAUGUGAAAGCCCCGGGCUCAACCGGGGAGGGGCAUUGGAAACUGGAAAACUUGAGUGCAGAAGAGGAAAGUGGAAUUCCAUGUGUAGCGGUGAAAUGCGCAAAGAUAUGGAGGAACACCGGUGGCGAAGGCGACUUUCUGGACUGUAACUGACGCUGAUGUGCGAAAGCGUGGGGAUCAAACAGGAUUAAAUACCCUGGUAGUCCACGCCGUAAACGAUGACUGCUAAGUGUUAGGGGGUUU